GCGCCAGCAGCCGCGGUAAUACCAGCUCCCCGACUGGUCGGGACGAUUAUUGGGUCUAAAGCGUCCGUAGCCGGCCCUGUAUGUGAUCCGUUAAAUCCAGCGGAUCAACCGCUGGGCUGCGGAUCAUACUAUGGGGCUAGGGGACGGGAGAGGCCGGAGGUACUCGCGGGUAGGGGUAAAAUCCGCUGAUCCGCGGAAGACCAACAGUGGCGAAGGCGUCCGGCCAGAACGCGCCCGACGGUGAGGGACGAAAGCCAGGGGAGCGAACCGGAUUAGAUACCCGGGUAGUCCUGGCCGUAAACGAUGCCCGCUAGGUCUUGGUGAAGCUUAGGGCUUCAUCAGGGCCGCAGGGAAGCCGUUAAGCGGGCCACCUGGGGAGUACGGCCGCAAGGCUGAAACUUAAAGGAAUUGGCGGGGGAGCACCACAAGGGGUGAAGCCUGCGGUUUAAUUGGAGUCAACGCCGGGAACCUUACCAGGGGUGACGGCAGAGUGAAGGUCAGGCUAAAGACCUUACCUGACAAGCCGAGAGGAGGUGCAUGGCCGUCGCCAGCUCGUGCUGUGAAGUGGCCUGUUAAGUCAGGCAACGAGCGAGACCC
rnacentral:rRNA from 1 species